GGAGAAUCUGAGCAUAGGUGGGCUCACCUGGUUUGAAACCAGACAGCCGAAAGGUUUGGGGGUUCGACUCCCUCAUUCUCCG
rnacentral:tRNA from 1 species